UGAAAUUCUGGAAGACCUAAACGUCAAGUCAUCGGCAAAGUUCUGCAUUUUCUGACAUGUUAGAGACAAUCGAUUAUUAGCCUGAACGCGUAGUUUUUUAGAUGACUGCUCUGCGUUUAAUUUGACUCUUGAGCGACUGUCAGCUCAACAUUUCUUUUAACUAAAGGCCCUCUUCAUGUGUCCUGCUGUUGCUAUGCAACUGCAAAUCUAUUUGAAGCAUGGUGCUUAGCUGCCAAAAGCGGACACAUUUUUUUAAACAUCAUCUGCAUCCCAGUAAAGCACAACAGCCCCACAGAAAUAAAAGUUAAGAUAUUAAUAGUUGCACUAAGAGGAUGGCGGGAGAGAUACACACAGGUAGAUAUACAAUGCAGGAUGGAUUCAACUAUAUAGCUUCGUACAGUGUUUGUAACUUGAGAUGCUUGAAAGGCUUUAGCACACUUCAAUUCAAUACUUAAGCAAUUCUGCCAGUGUCUAUCAUAUAUCAUUAGCUCAUUUGACAUUUGCUUUUAUCAAGCAUGACAGACUAGAAGCUAUGCGAGCUGUGACAUCAUCUGCCACCUCACUGAUGGGCAUGCAUCUCUCUCCAACUGAUAUUUUGCUUUGGAAGCAACAACCCCUUGAGACGCUGCACCCCCAUGUGGGGACAUGACAUUUUUGGAUUUUCUGCGUCUUAUACAUUAUUAAGCAAUGCUGACCUUAUUGUGUUCGUCUCUAAAAUAAAGCCAUUGUCCCCCAUACGAGGACAUACUUUUAAGUUUCCAACAACUACGUACCAAAGCAAAGACUACCUACUUAAAGAUAUAUUAGUUUAUAUAUUUGUGUUCCAACCAAUCACAAAUAUGUAGUAGAGAUGAAAAUGCAAACCAAACAAGUGCUCAGGUCACGAGAGGUUAAGAUAUGAGCACAAGCCUCUUUCACUCUUAAGAAUUACUAUUGCUGAAAAGAGUCGAUAGAGAUCAUUACUCCUGGGCUUUGAGUGGUGUUCAGUGUCCCAGGCAUGCUCUGCAUUAUCAGACAUAACCAGCUGAGAUUUGAUUACAGAACGAUAAUUUCAUUCAUCUUCUUGUUUAACAGUAGAUGUAACAUAAACACUACACUGUGCAUUAUUACAGACUGGAAAAUUAUUUUCCAUUUGAAAUCUGUGUUCAGGGAUCAUUUUCAGGUGAAACCCUCCCAGAUUUCCUGGAGCUCAAACCUCUUCUGUUAGGGAAGACCCUGUUGUCGUGGCAACAUUCUUCAAAACACUCCCAAUUCCUCUGGGCUUGUCCGAGCAAGAUGACGCCAGUGCUGGGAGCACAUGCCAGUGUCUCUCAACUCCCAACAGCCCUUGUUAGUAAAUAGCCUAGAGACCCAGCGAAUGCAAGCGAGCGAUCUGCAUCUUUCCUGCUUCAAUUCCCCCAUUCGGCGUAAGUGUGUGAGAUUGCCAUGUGCAGCAGGAGUGUGUGCAGAAGCAGAUAAGGACAGUCGUCACAAUCCACCACUAGUACUUCAACUUUGGGAGGAGUUUGGAGGGGCACCCACUCUCACCAAGAUGGCUCUAGGUUCAAUAACAACAACAGCAGCAGCAGCGGCAGCGCAUGGUGGGGGCCCUCCUGGAGAGCACACAUAGACCCUACAGACAGCAUCUGUUUAUGAAUGGGCCAACAAUUGCCCAUCCCCCCCGGCGGCUACAGCUGACAGAGGGAGGAGGCGCGACAAGUCACCGAAUCAGAAGAAGAGAUAAAGAAGAACAGGCAGUCAGA
ensembl:lncRNA